rnacentral:rRNA from 1 species
AGAGUUUGAUCCUGGCUCAGGAUGGACGCUGGCGGCGUGCCUAACACAUGCAAGUCGAGCGAAGCUUAACUUUGAAGCCUUCGGGUGGAGAAGUUAAGACUUAGCGGCGGACGGGUGAGUAACGCGUGGGCAACCUGCCUUAUACAGGGGGAUAACAGCGAGAAAUCGUUGCUAAUGCCGCAUAAGCGCACAGUAUCGCAUGAUACAGUGUGAAAAAACUCCGGUAGUAUAAGAUGGGCCCGCGUCUGAUUAGCUAGUUGGUAAGGUAGAAGCUUACCAAGGCGACGAUCAGUAGCCGACCUGAGAGGGUGAUCGGCCACAUUGGGACUGAGACACGGCCCAAACUCCUACGGGAGGCAGCAGUGGGAAUAUUGCACAAUGGGGGAAACCCUGAUGCAGCAACGCCGCGUGAAGGAAGAAGGUUUUCGGAUUGUAAACUUCUAUCAGCAGGGAAGAUAAUGACGGUACCUGACUAAGAAGCCCCGGCUAACUACGUGCCAGCAGCCGCGGUAAUACGUAGGGGGCAAGCGUUAUCCGGAUUUACUGGGUGUAAAGGGUGCGUAGGCGGCAAAGCAAGUCAGAUGUGAAAGCCCGUUGCUCAACAACGGGACUGCAUUUGAAACUGUUUAGCUAGAGUGCAGGAGAGGUAAGUGGAAUUCCUAGUGUAGCGGUGAAAUGCGUAGAUAUUAGGAAGAACACCAGUGGCGAAGGCGGCUUACUGGACUGUAACUGACGCUGAGGCACGAAAGCGUGGGGAGCGAACAGGAUUAGAUACCCUGGUAGUCCACGCCGUAAACUAUGAAUACUAGGUGUCGGGGUCCGUCAGGACUUCGGUGCCGCAGCUAACGCAUUAAGUAUUCCACCUGGGGAGUACGAUCGCAAGAUUGAAACUCAAAGGAAUUGACGGGGGCCCGCACAAGCGGUGGAGCAUGUGGUUUAAUUCGACGCAACGCGAAGAACCUUACCAAAUCUUGACAUCCCAGUGACCGUUCCGUAAUAGGAACUUUCCCUUCGGGGACAAUGGUGACAGGUGGUGCAUGGUUGUCGUCAGCUCGUGUCGUGAGAUGUUGGGUUAAGUCCCGCAACGAGCGCAACCCUUAUCUUUAGUAGCCAGCACUUCGGGUGGGGACUCUAGAGAGACUGCCGGGGAUAACUCGGAGGAAGGUGGGGAUGACGUCAAAUCAUCAUGCCCCUUAUGAUUUGGGCUACACACGUGCUACAAUGGUGGUGACAAAGGGAAGCAAUGGAGUGAUCCUGAGCAAACCUCAAAAAAACCAUCUCAGUUCGGAUUGUAGUCUGCAACUCGACUACAUGAAGCUGGAAUCGCUAGUAAUCGCGGAUCAGAAUGUCGCGGUGAAUACGUUCCCGGGCCUUGUACACACCGCCCGUCACACCAUGGGAGUUGGAAGCGCCCGAAGCCGGUGACUAAACCCGUAAGGGAUAGAGCCGUCGAAGGUGAAGUCGAUGACUAGGGUGAAGUCGAAACAAGGUA